CUCCAGUAUUCUUGCCUGGAAAAUCUCAUAGAUGGAGCCUGGUAGGCUACAGUCCAUGGGGUUGCAAAGAGUCAGACAUGACGGAGCAACUUCCCUUCCUAUUAACAAAAUUCCUUUGCACUUUGUAGAAACCAUAACUUCCAUACAUUAGACAUACUUUUAUUUUUUUUUCAGGGUCAUGUUAAUAUAAUUUUGUGCUUAACUUAUUUACUUUUUAUGAUCUUUAAAGGCAAGAUUUUAAGAUUCUUGUGUCACAGAUUUUUUCAGAUAGUAAAGUUCUAUCUAGUCCCCUGGGAAGUCCCCUCAGAGUACUACUCACACCUUUUGAAAGAGUUCUGGUGUGAGUUGGUUUGAGCAGAAAAUCCCCCCCAGAGGGAAGUAUAUGAAAGUAUGUUACUGAAAAAAGGAGUAAGCUAAUACAGUACCUAGGUUACUUUUAUGUGUUAGAAGAAACACUCUGAGCAGAUCCAUCUCAGGUUCACCUGAGAGUCCCAUCUUUAAAUGGCUCUCCACCUUGGGAGCUGUCUGCCAGCUCCCGAGUGCCUGACAAAUGUGUGUGAAGCUGAGUGCUUGGGCAGAGGCCCACAGUGGAGUCAGGAGGGCCUCCAUUAGGGCCUCUCACUGCCCGCAGGGCAUGUCCAUAACAUUGUGACCGGUGUCACUAAGAGUUGGUGCUGUCAUCUGUCAUUCCUCACGGCAUCUGUAAAGUCGAGGGAGCAGCCCAGGCCUCAAGGGCCAGUGGUGAGUGUAGCCCCUGGUAAAGAGAUUGUGUCCUGUCUGCGGGACAUUGAGAAGACACUCACAUCUCAGGUCACAAUAUCCACCUACCCCCAACUUCUUCCUGGAAGGAGGAGUAGUGAGAUAAUUGCUCGUACACAAAGAUCAGUUGUGUAACCACUGUCUCAGUUACACUCCUAUUGUGAACGGUCAGGAGGCCCCAGAAGAAAAUGGUCAUAGACAAAAAGUGUCAAGUGCAAAUCCCAAGUGACCAUAGUGGAUUUACAGCUUUGAGAGAUGGUCCUCCCUGACUGUUAAUGGAGAAUGUGUUUGAUGGUGGGUUUGCUGUGGCAGCUAGGCACACUUCUUAUUUUUCAACGUGGGAAUUCUUUCUCUGAGUGGUGCCUGUGAAGGCCAGUGAGGAUCUAAUAGCUCCCUUUCACCUUAGUACCACACAUUGAUGACCAGGAUUGCAGAGAAAAGAGCCGCUACCGAGCCCCAGGUUGCCUGUUGGAGCUGAUGGCUAAGCAGCCCUAGAGUGAAAACCACAAUCACAGAAAACUAACCAAAAUGAUCACAUGGAUCACAGCCUUGUAAAACUCAACGAAACUAUGAGCCAUUCUCUGUAGAGCCACUGAAGAUAGAUAGAUGGGUCAUGCUGCAGAGAUCUGGCAAAACGGGGUCCCCUGGAGAACGGAAUGGCAAACUACUUCAACAUUCUUGCCUUGAGAAGCCCGUGAACAAUAUGAAGAGGUGAAAAGAUAUGGCACAGAGAUGAACCCCCCCAGCUAGCUAGGUGUCCACUAUGCUCCUGGGAAAGAGUGAAGAAAUAGCUUCAGAAGAAAUGAGAGGCUGAGCCAAAGCAGAAACGAUGCAGCUGUGGAUGUGUCAGGUGGUGGAAGUAAAGUCUGAUGCUGUAAAGAAUAAUAUUGCAUGGAAACCUGGAAUGUUAGGUCUGUGAAUCAAGGUAAAUUGGAAAUGGUCAAACAGGAGAUGGGAAGAGUGAGCAUCAACAUUUUAGAAAUCAGUGAACUAAAAAGGAUGGGGAUGGGUGAGUUUAAUUCACAUGACCAUUAUAUAUACAGCUGUGGGCAAGAGUCCCUUGGAAGGAAUGGACUAACCCUCAUAGUCUGCAAAAGAGUAUGAAGUGCAGUACUUCCAUGCAGUCUCAAGAAUGACAAAAAGAUUUCAGUUGUUUCCAAGGCAAAACCAACAUGACAGUUACCCAAGUCUAUGCUCAAACCGCUAAUGCUGAAAAAGCUGAAGUUGAACAGUUCUGUGAAGGCCUACAAGACCUUCUAGAACUAACACAAAAAAAGAUGUCCUUUUUCUCAUAGGGGACUUCACUGCAAAAGUAGAAAGUCAAGAGACCUGGAGUAAUAGGCAAAUUUGGCCUUGGAGUGCAAAAUGAAACUGGGCAAAGGCUAAUAGUUUGCCAAGAGACUGCACUGGUCAUAGGAAACACUCUUCCAACAAUAGAAGGGACAGCUCUACACAUGGAAAUCACCAGGUGGUUCAUACCAAAAUCAGAUUGAUUAUAUUCUUUGUAGCUGAAGAUGGAGAAGCUCUAUACAAUAGGCAAAAACAAUAGAGAGCUGAUUGUGGUUCAGAUCAUGAGCUGCUUAUUGCAAAAUUCAGACUUCAAGUAGAGACAACCACUAGGCAAUUCCAGUGUGACGUUAAUCAAAUCACACAGUGGAGGUGACGAAUAGAUUCAAGGGAUUAAAUCUGAUACAGUGCCUGAAGAACUAUGGAUGGAGGUUUGUGACAUUGUAUAGGAAGUGUUGACCAAAACCAUCCCCAAGCAAAAGAAAUGCAAAAAGGCCAAAUGGUUGUCUGAGGAGGCCUUACAAAUAGCUGAAAAAAGAACAGAAGUGAAAGGCAAAGGAGAAAAAGAUAUUCCCAUCUGAUGGCAGAGUUCCAAAGAAUAGCAAGGAGGGAUAAGAAAGCCUUCCUCAUUAAUCUAUGCAAAGAAAUAGAGGAAAAUAAUAGAAUGGGACAGACUAGAGAUCUCUUAAAUUAGAGAUACUGAGGGAACAUUUCAUGCAAAAAUGGGCACAAUAAAGGACAGAAUCGAUGUGAACCUAAUAGAAGCAGAAGAUACUAAGAAGAGGUGGCAAGAAUAUACAGAGAAACUGUAUUAAAAAAGUCUUAAUGAACCACGAUGACCACGAUGGUGUGAUCACUCACCUAAGAGCUCUCAGACAUCCUGGAAUGCGAAGUCAAGUGGGCCUUAGGGAAGCAUUACUAGGAACAAAACUAGUGGAAGUGAUGGAAUUUCAGCUGAGCUAUGUCAAAUCCUAAAAGAUGAUGCUGUUAAAGUGCUGCACUCAAUAUGCCAGCAAAUUUGGAAAACUCAGCAGUGGCUGCAGGACAGGAAAAGGGUAGUUUUCAUUCCAAUCCUAAAGAAGGGCAAUGCCAAAGAAUGUUAAAACCACACAGUUGGUGCUCAUUUCAUGUGUUAGCAAGGUAAGGAUCAAAAUCGUUCAAGCUAGGUUUCAACAGUACAAGAACUGAGAACUUCUAGAUGUACAAGCUAGGUUUAGAAAAGGCAGAGGAACCAGACAUCAAAUUGACGACAUCUGUUAGAUAACAGAGAAAGCAAAGGAAUUCCAGAAAAACCUAUUUCUGCUUGAUUGAGUAUGCUAAAUUCUUUGUGUGGAUCACAACAAACUGUGGAAAAUUCUUUAAGGAUGGGAAUAGCAGAACACCUUACCUGUCUCCUGAGAAACCUAUAUAUAGCAGGUCAAGAAGCAACAGUUAGAACUGGACAUGGAACAACAGACUGGUUCCAAAUUGAGAAAGGAAUACAACAAGGCUGUAUAUUGUCACCCUGUUUAAUUUCUAUGUUGAGUACAUCUUGCAAAAUGCUAGGCUGGAUGAAGCACAAGCUGGAAUCAAGAUAACUGGGAGAAAUAUCAACAACCUCAGAUAUGCAAAAGACACCACCCCUAUGGCAGGAAGCGAAGAGAAACUAAAGAUUCUCUUAAUGAAGGUGAAGGAGGAGAGUGAAAAGGCUGGCUUAAUACCCAACAUUCAGAAAACUAAGAUCAUAGCAUCCAGUCACAUUAUUUCAUGGCAAAUAAAAGGGAAAAAAGUGGAAACAGUGGCAGACUUAUUUUCUUGGGGUCCAAAAUCACUGUGGAUGGUGAUUGCAGCCAUGAAAUGAAGACACUCGCUCCUUGGAAGGAAAGCUUUGACAAACCUAGUAAGCGUUUUAAAAAGCAGAGACAAAACUUUGCGACAAAGGUCCGUCUAAUCAAAGCUAUGGUUUUUCCAGUAGUCAUGUAUGGAUGUGAGUUGGACCAUAAUCCAAAGUCCAAGAGUUGUUGAAGGUGUUUCAGAGUCGGACAUGUUAACAACUGAACAACAACGAUUUCUUCGGCUGAGCACUAAAGAAUUGAUGCUUUUGAAUUAUGGUGCUGGAGAAGAUUCUUGAGAGUCUCUUCAAAAGCAAGGAGAUCAAACCAGUCAUUGCUAAUGCAAAUCAACCCUGAAUCAUUCCAGUCAUUCAUCAUUGGAAGGACUGAUGCUGAAGCUGAAUCUCUUAUACUUUGGUCACCAGAUGUGAAGAACUGAGUCAUUGGAAAGGAUCCUGAUACUGGAAAAGGUUGAAGGCAAGAGGAGAAGGUGGCAGCAGACAAUGAGAUGGUUGGAUGACCUCACUGACUCAGUGGACAUGAGUUUGAGCAAGUGAAGGGAGAUAGUGAAGGACAGGGGAGGCUGCUGUGGUGCAAUUAAUGGGGUUGCACAGAGUCAGACAUGACAGCAACUGAACAGUUUCUGCAUGUGCUACUUUAUGAGGUUUCUCCAUAUCAGUUUCCAGUUGCUUUAUUGCAAGGGAGUUCCUCCACAGUCAUAACUGGGAACACCGUGCUAUUCCUCUUGGGCAUUUUGCACGUCCUUUGCAGUCUGCCCCUGCUGUCCUGGUGUUUCCAUGGCCUGGAUGUUUUACUCAGUAAGUUAGUGGUCGGCUAAUACCAGCCACAGCCUUGACCUCAAGGGCAGUGACCGCCAGUUCCUCAUUUCUUCUCAGGUUUGGAUGUGUUUCCUCCUUCAAGAUCCAGACAAGAAAGACAGCUGCAUCCAGAUGCAGAAGGAAGAGAGCCACCUUCCACGUUCGAGUGGGACUUCCUCUCCAUUCUUUGUUGUUACUGUUACUCAGUCCCUGAGUCGUGUCUGACUUGUGACCCCAUGAACUGCAGCAUGCCACAUUUAUGGGCGAUCACUUCUAGGUUCUGCUGACUGCACUUUGCCAUGAGAACUUUGUUUCCCCUAGCGUGCACCAUGUGUCCCCAAAUGUGUAGUGUUUCAUGAAAACAAGCCCUGAAAAGAAUGCCCACACUGUAAUGACAGAUGUACACGCUUAGGAACUGGUUGCCAUUUUUCACAGCAUAAGAACAUAGGGUUUUGAGUCCAAGGGAAAAGGCAGCCAGGUGAUACCCACCUCUGUUCUUAUGGCAGCCUUGGCCUUGGCCUUGACCUGUGCUUUGUUUUAUGGCCCAUGUCUCAGAAGCCUCUGAUGCUAGUCAUUUCCAAACUGCUUUAUUUCAUGUCUGUGUAAAUGUAUUCGUCUCUCUGAAUAUCAGUGAUACUCUUG
ensembl:lncRNA